UUNGCCUUUAAAUUUAAAGAAUUUGGCGGUAAUUUAGUCUGUUAGAGGAACUUGUUUUUGGAUCGAUAUGCCUCGUAGAAUCUUACUUGCUUUAGAUAGAGGUUUGUAUAUCAUCAUUAGCAGAUAAUUUUUAAAAAAUAAAUUAUUAAGGUUAGUUGGUUACUAAGAAAAUUAGAUCAAGGUGCAGCAAAUAAGCAAGUUAAAAUGAGUUACAAUAAUUUUUUUUAAAAACGGAGUGAUUAAUAACUGAAAUUGAGGUUAUGAAGGAGGAUUUAAUUGUAAUAAAAGUUUUAAUAAGUUUUUAUGAUAAAGGUUCUAAAUUAUGUACACAUCGCC
rnacentral:rRNA from 1 species